GUGGCGGACACCCAUUCCUGCUCACCUCUGCGCUGACUUUGCACCCAACUAUAUCGCAUGCCACAGGCCAGCUGCGAUGAGGGGACUCGUAAGACCUGCCCAACAACCCAUGUGCUCCCAGAUCCUCUUUUCAUUCUGCUCGUUGGCGAAGGAAAUUUGAGCUUCACUUAUGCGCUUGUCAAACGCCUGUCCCGCAGUGCAGUUGUCCGCCGUGCGACGCAGAAUGAUGCCGUAGCCGGCGAGCGGCAGCGCGGCAUCGUCGUGGAGGUGAUUGCCACCACCUUCGACAGUGAGGCAGAAGUGUCGCGCAAGUAUCCGGAGGCGGUGGGCUUCCUGGCGUACUUUGCAGCGAAGCGGCGCGUGCGUGUACGUUACCACGACCAUGUGAACGCGACGUCGCUGUCGUCCGCCGCUGCACCGCUGCGAGAUCAGCCCCUGCACCUUCUCAUCUUUAAUAAUCCACACAUCGGAUUCGAGGAUCUCUACCGACAAAUCGCCCUGCUGUCGCACUUCUUCCGCAGCGCGCGCGAACUACACACCCAUGCACUGACACAGGACUUUCCCCAAGAGGUCGUGGUUACUCUGUGCGACGACCAAGCGCAGCGGUGGGACUUGCUCGGGUGUGCGGCGCGCAGCGGCUACAUAUGCGUCGCGGCCGUGCCCAUGCGCUCCGCCGACUUCCCCGAGUAUACAAACCGCCGUCACCAGCGCCACGCCGCCUUCCCGUUUCGCAUCAUGGUGCAGUACUACUUUGUGGCCCCCCAAGCCGCGCUGCACGGGGUGCUGCGCGACCUCUCCGAGGAAAUGAUGUCCUGGGAGCAGGAGCGCCAGGCGCGCCUGCAUGAGGGAUUACCCUGCAGCUAUACCUGCGUGGAGUGGUUGCGCGUGGCAAAGUCCAACUUUGGUUAUUCUUCACAAGCCGCCGACGCGACGGCAGAAGUCAUCCACUCCGCCGCUACACACCCGUCCGUCUUGAGCGGUGACGACUUCUCUGUCAACAGAUCCGCAUGUUCUGCACAGCAACCUCUGCCGCUUCUCCAUCCGACGCUGGUGGCCCGCGUUGUGGGAGAAGCUGCUAUGGCCCCUUUCUCCUCCGCCCCUUCUGAGGACCACACAGAGGCGUUCAUGCCGUACUUGCCCAGUUCUACGUGGAUCCGUCUGUAUCGAGCUCAGCGCUGGGCGGAGCAGCGGUGUAGCUUUUCUGUUGCUCUUGCGCCGCCCAAGACGCCUCCGCUACCGCCUCACCUCGACUCGUCGAUUCUUGGCCGCCCCCUCACGUCGAAAGAGGCCAGCAAGCUUGGGCGCUACUUGUCUGGCUACGGCGCAGCGAUGAGAGCAAAGGCUCAGCAGCGCCGACAAGCCGAGAUGCUGGAGGCAUGUCCAUGGAGCUGCAAGGCGUGCCAGCCCGCUCGCACCUUCGAGAGGGAGGACGAUCUGCGACAGCACCAGAUCGCGAAGCACUGUGGCGCGACUCCACUUGCGCCGACGCUAUACGCUCGUGUGCAUGAACAGGUCGAGGCUGCGAGUCGCCGCCUAGAGGAAGCUCUGGCUGGCUUGGAUAUAGAAGACGGCGGCGAUAAAGGCUCCUGCGAGGUGUGCGGGCUGCGUUUCAAGAGCAGCGAUGCUUACGAAGAGCACCUCCGCUACUUAUCUCCCCUUCCUGUCGACGAUGCAGCGGACUUGGUGUGCAACGUCUGCCACCCGGUUAAGUGCUUUACCGACCGCCGCGCACUUGAGCAGCAUCGAGCCACGAAGCACUCGGCAGCGGAGUGAGCGACUCCGCGUGGAAACAACUCCCGCUAAGAUUUGGCACCCGCGAGGUUAUGAGCACCAACG
rnacentral:misc_RNA from 1 species